CGCCGGUCGUGAGAAAGUCCGCGCACGCCAGCGUCUGGGUCCAGGACGCAGCGCCAGCGAGGCUUCACGCACCUCGCCGAAUCCCGUCCGCUGCUGGCGCCCCUUCCUCCCUCUCUCCCUCCUCCAGGAGGCGCUGGUAGCAAGGAAGCAAGAGGUGAGAACUUAAACCGAGGACUUGUAAAGGACCCAUAGCAGAGAGCGGUUUUCACCCUGAGAUUGAGUGUAUAUCAUAUCCCUCUUCAUUCCUCCAUCUGGCCUUCCUCUGCUGACCUUGUAGAAGACCAUGGACUUCUGCUUGGAUAAAAAGACUACUACUAAUAUUUAUCAUUAUUGAGCACUAGUUCUGGACCAGGCACAUUCAUCCAUUUUUAUAUACCUUUCUCUGUUCAUUCCACAUAACAUUUCCCUUUUCUUUAUUUACACUCAUAUUUAGCUUUAUGUAACUUAACACUUGAUUAUAAAUUGCAGAUAUAACAUAGUUUAUAACAAAGAGUGGUAUGGUAAGGAUAGUUUGACUGAAAGGAAGAUUAGAAAAAUGUAACUAAAGGGAAAUGGUACUGUAUAUGCUGUAUUUAGGAUUUGAUAUCAUGUCCUCAAAGUUUAAUAUUCAGGUAGUUUACAAUAGAAAAACAAUUACCUUGCUCAUCCCCAAUAAUUAAUCAUGUGGUUGCAAAAUAUGUUUCUCCAAGAAUGAUGAAGUAAUACAUGAAGUAACGCAUAACUGCUUUUGAAUUUCAAUUUAAUUGAGUAUUAAUUAAA